rnacentral:rRNA from 1 species
CCUACGGGUGGCAGCAGUGAGGAAUAUUGGUCAAUGGACGAGAGUCUGAACCAGCCAAGUAGCGUGAAGGAUGACUGCCCUAUGGGUUGUAAACUUCUUUUAUAUGGGAAUAAAAUGUUCCACGUGUGGGAUUUUGUAUGUACCAUAUGAAUAAGGAUCGGCUAACUCCGUGCCAGCAGCCGCGGUAAUACGGAGGAUCCGAGCGUUUUCCGGAUUUAUUGGGUUUAAAGGGAGCGUAGGUGGAUUGUUAAGUCAGUUGUGAAAGUUUGCGGCUCAACCGUAAAAUUGCAGUUGAAACUGGCAGUCUUGAGUACAGUAGAGGUGGGCGGAAUUCGUGGUGUAGCGGUGAAAUGCUUAGAUAUCACGAAGAACUCCGAUUGCGAAGGCAGUUCACUGGACUGCAACUGACACUGAGGCUCGAAAGUGUGGGUAUCAAACAGGAUUAGAUACCCGAGUAGUC